rnacentral:lncRNA from 1 species
AUUGGUUCCAAGGCAGAAGAGUGGUAAGGGCUAGGCAAUGGGGGUGUGGAAGAGUCAGGAAGGAAGAAUUUUAUGCAUGCAAGACAAAAUAAAGGACCUCCGCUGUCAAUCAUAAAAGAACAUUCUAAAUAGAAUGUUUCCAGGAAAGACAGUUGGAGAGUCAAGCCAAGCUGAAGGGGGAAGAAGCUCUGAACUGGACCCCUGUUAGCUUCUGUCCUAGGCUGAAGGACCCUUGGGGGGGCUUCUGGAGCUAGGAUGAGGGCAAAUCAGAAAUGCAGCCUGAAGUCAUUGGGAAGAUAAAUGAUCUGCAGCAAGAGAGCCAGAAAAAACAACAACAGUGGAGGCAGAGUAGACAUGAUAAUGAUGAUGGUGAUGACCAUGGUGGUGAUGGAGGUUCACUCAGUCAAUCAAAAAGUCUAAUAAUGGCAUGGCUGGGCCUAUGA